CGCCCCCGUCCCCCCGCCGGCCCCCGCCCCCGUCGCCUCCGUUCGGCCCCGUCCGCCUCCAUCCCACCGCCGGCCGCCGCCCCAGUAGCCUCCAUCCGCCCCCGUCCGCCUCCAUCCCUACGACGUCGCCACACCUGUCACCCCCUCCCGUUCGUCCUCCGCCGGUGUCGCAAGGCCGGGCGAUGGACGGAGACGGCUUCGAUGUGUGGGGUUCGCAGCCGUCGGCAAGCGGCCCCGCUACCCAGGCCGGUCUUGACCUCAACUCGCAAGCAAGCUAGAAUUAUUGUUGCUUGCAUGUUCAUAAUUUCAUUCGAGAGAGCAGAAUUGCUGAUAGGGAAUUUGAUGCAUGUGAUGCGGAUGAAAAUUAUAACCCAAUGCCUAGUUCUUAUGCAUCUGCAUGGCCAGAAGACGAACCUCUUGCUGAAGAUAUCAACAUGAAUGCCUUCCGUGAUGAGUUAGCUAAUGCGCUGUUUCAUGGAAUGUAAUUUUAUUUUGUCAAGCUUGACUGA